rnacentral:rRNA from 1 species
AACGAACGCUGGCGGCAUGCCUAACACAUGCAAGUCGAACGAGACCUUCGGGUCUAGUGGCGCACGGGUGCGUAACACGUGGGAAUCUGCCCUUUGCUUCGGAAUAACAGUUAGAAAUGACUGCUAAUACCGGAUGAUGUCGAAAGACCAAAGAUUUAUCGGCAAAGGAUGAGCCCGCGUAGGAUUAGGUAGUUGGUGGGGUAAAGGCCUACCAAGCCGACGAUCCUUAGCUGGUCUGAGAGGAUGAUCAGCCACACUGGGACUGAGACACGGCCCAGACUCCUACGGGAGGCAGCAGUGGAGAAUAUUGGACAAUGGGCGAAAGCCUGAUCCAGCAAUGCCGCGUGAGUGAUGAAGGCCUUAGGGUUGUAAAGCUCAUUUACCAGGGAUGAUAAUGACAGUACCUGGAGAAUAAGCUCCGGCUAACUCCGUG